rnacentral:tRNA from 1 species
GCGCGCUGUACCGGGCCGGCCGGCCGGGCGACGCGCUGGAGGCGUUCCGGCAGGGCCGGGCCCGGCUGGUCGGCGAGUUCGGCCUCGAACCGGGCC